AUGAACGCUGGCGGCGUGCUUAACACAUGCAAGUCGAACGGUGAUGCUCCAGCUUGCUGGAGUGGAUCAGUGGCGAACGGGUGAGUAACACGUGAGCAACCUGCCCCAGACUCUGGAAUAAGCGCUGGAAACGGCGUCUAAUACUGGAUACGAAACUGGCCCGCAUGGGCAUGGUUUGGAAAGUUUUUCGGUUUGGGAUGGGCUCGCGGCCUAUCAGCUUGUUGGUGAGGUAAUGGCUCACCAAGGCGACGACGGGUAGCCGGCCUGAGAGGGCGACCGGCCACACUGGGACUGAGACACGGCCCAGACUCCUACGGGAGGCAGCAGUGGGGAAUAUUGCACAAUGGGCGAAAGCCUGAUGCAGCGACGCCGCGUGAGGGAUGACGGCCUUCGGGUUGUAAACCUCUUUCAGCAGGGAAGAAGCGAAAGUGACGGUACCUGCAGAAGAAGCACCGGCUAACUACGUG
rnacentral:rRNA from 1 species